GAUGAAGAACGUAGCGAAAUGCGAUACUUGGUGUGAAUUGCAGAAUCCCGUGAACCAUCGAGUCUUUGAACGCAAGUUGCGCCCGAAGCCAUUAGGCCGAGGGCACGCCUGCCUGGGCGUCACACGUCGUUGCCCCCCCAUCUACUCCUUCGGGAUUGCGGGGGGCGGAUGAUGGCCUCUCGUGCGCCUCGUCGCGCGGUUGGCCUAAAUGCCAAGUCCUCGGCGACGCACGCCACGACAAUCGGUGGUUGCGAAACCUCGGUUGCCUGUCGUGUGCGGUCGUCGCGCAUCGAGGGCUCGAAAAAAUUGCCGGGCUUCGGCUCGACUUUCAACGCGACCCCAGGUCAGGCGGGGUUACCCGCUGAAUUUAAGCAUAUCAAUAACGGAGGA
rnacentral:misc_RNA from 1 species